UACGAAGGGGGCUAGCGUUGCUCGGAAUCACUGGGCGUAAAGCGCACGUAGGCGGAUUGCUAAGUCAGGGGUGAAAUCCUGGAGCUCAACUCCAGAACUGCCUUUGAUACUGGUGAUCUUGAGUCCGGGAGAGGUGAGUGGAACUGCGAGUGUAGAGGUGAAAUUCGUAGAUAUUCGCAAGAACACCAGUGGCGAAGGCGGCUCCCUGGCCCGGUACUGACGCUGAGGUGCGAAAGCGUGGGGAGCGAACAGG
rnacentral:rRNA from 1 species